GGAAGUAAAAGUCGUAACAAGGUUUCCGUAGGUGAACCUGCGGAAGGAUCAUUACCGAGUGAGGGCCCUCUGGGUCCAACCUCCCACCCGUGUUUAUUUUACCUUGUUGCUUCGGCGGGCCCGCCUUAACUGGCCGCCGGGGGGCUUACGCCCCCGGGCCCGCGCCCGCCGAAGACACCCUCGAACUCUGUCUGAAGAUUGAAGUCUGAGUGAAAAUAUAAAUUAUUUAAAACUUUCAACAACGGAUCUCUUGGUUCCGGCAUCGAUGAAGAACGCAGCGAAAUGCGAUACGUAAUGUGAAUUGCAAAUUCAGUGAAUCAUCGAGUCUUUGAACGCACAUUGCGCCCCCUGGUAUUCCGGGGGGCAUGCCUGUCCGAGCGUCAUUGCUGCCCUCAAGCCCGGCUUGUGUGUUGGGCCCCGUCCCCCGAUCUCCGGGGGACGGGCCCGAAAGGCAGCGGCGGCACCGCGUCCGGUCCUCGAGCGUAUGGGGCUUUGUCACCCGCUCUGUAGGCCCGGCCGGCGCUUGCCGAUCAACCCAAAUUUUUAUCCAGGUUGACCUCGGAUCAGGUAGGGAUACCCGCUGAACUUAAGCAUAUCAAUAAGCGGAGGA
rnacentral:rRNA from 1 species